rnacentral:rRNA from 1 species
AGAGUUUGAUCCUGGCUCAGAUUGAACGCUGGCGGCAUGCCUUACACAUGCAAGUCGAACGGUAACAGGGAGCUUGCUCCGCUGACGAGUGGCGAACGGGUGAGUAAUGUAUCGGAACGUACCAUUCAGUGGGGGAUAACGUAGCGAAAGUUACGCUAAUACCGCAUAUUCUGUGAGCAGGAAAGCAGGGGAUCGCAAGACCUUGCGCUGAUUGAGCGGCCGAUAUCAGAUUAGCUAGUUGGUGAGGUAAAGGCUCACCAAGGCGACGAUCUGUAGCGGGUCUGAGAGGAUGAUCCGCCACACUGGAACUGAGACACGGUCCAGACUCCUACGGGAGGCAGCAGUGGGGAAUUUUGGACAAUGGGGGCAACCCUGAUCCAGCCAUGCCGCGUGAGUGAAGAAGGCCUUCGGGUUGUAAAGCUCUUUCGGCCGGGAAAAAAUCGCAUAGGUUAAUACCCUGUGUGGAUGAUGGUACCGGAAUAAGAAGCACCGGCUAACUACGUGCCAGCAGCCGCGGUAAUACGUAGGGUGCGAGCGUUAAUCGGAAUUACUGGGCGUAAAGCGUGCGCAGGCGGUUUGAUAAGACAGGCGUGAAAUCCCCGGGCUCAACCUGGGAACUGCGUUUGUGACUGUCUCACUAGAGUACGGCAGAGGGGGGUGGAAUUCCACGUGUAGCAGUGAAAUGCGUAGAGACGUGGAGGAACACCAAUGGCGAAGGCAGCCCCCUGGGUCGAUACUGACGCUCAUGCACGAAAGCGUGGGUAGCAAACAGGAUUAGAUACCCUGGUAGUCCACGCCCUAAACGAUGUCAACUAGGUGUUGGGAGGGUAAAACCUUUUAGUACCGUAGCUAACGCGAGAAGUUGACCGCCUGGGGAGUACGGCCGCAAGGUUAAAACUCAAAGGAAUUGACGGGGACCCGCACAAGCGGUGGAUGAUGUGGAUUAAUUCGAUGCAACGCGAAAAACCUUACCUACCCUUGACAUGUUCAGGAGUCCAAAGAGAUUUGGAUGUGCUCGAAAGAGAACUGGAACACAUGUGCUGCAUGGCUGUCGUCAGCUCGUGUCGUGAGAUGUUGGGUUAAGUCCCGCAACGAGCGCAACCCUUGUCGUUAAUUGCCAUCAUUUAGUUGGGCACUUUAACGAGACUGCCGGUGACAAACCGGAGGAAGGUGGGGAUGACGUCAAGUCCUCAUGGCCCUUAUGGGUAGGGCUUCACACGUCAUACAAUGGUCGGUACAAAGGGUUGCCAACCCGCGAGGGGGAGCUAAUCCCAUAAAGCCGAUCGUAGUCCGGAUCGCAGGCUGCAACUCGCCUGCGUGAAGUCGGAAUCGCUAGUAAUCGUGGAUCAGCAUGUCAC